CAGUCGCCGCGGUAAUACGAAGGGGGCUAGCGUUGUUCGGAAUUACUGGGCGUAAAGCGCACGUAGGCGGAUACUUAAGUUAGGGGUGAAAUCCCAGGGCUCAACCCUGGAACUGCCUUUAAUACUGGGUAUCUUGAGUUCGAGAGAGGUAAGUGGAAUUCCGAGUGUAGAGGUGAAAUUCGUAGAUAUUCGGAGGAACACCAGUGGCGAAGGCGGCUUACUGGCUCGAUACUGACGCUGAGGUGCGAAAGCGUGGGGAGCAAACAGGAUUAGAGACCCGUGUAGUCCCUGUCUCUUAUAC
rnacentral:rRNA from 1 species